rnacentral:rRNA from 1 species
CCAGACUCCUACGGGAGGCAGCAGUAGGGAAUCUUCGGCAAUGGACGAAAGUCUGACCGAGCAACGACGCGUGAGUGAAGAAGGUUUUCGGAUCGUAAAGCUCUGUUGUAAGAGAAGAACGAGUGUGAGAGUGGAAAGUUCACACUGUGACGGUAUCUUACCAGAAAGGGACGGCUAACUACGUGCCAGCAGCCGCGGUAAUACGUAGGUCCCGAGCGUUGUCCGGAUUUAUUGGGCGUAAAGCGAGCGCAGGCGGUUAGAUAAGUCUGAAGUUAAAGGCUGUGGCUUAACCAUAGUACGCUUUGGAAACUGUUUAACUUGAGUGCAAGAGGGGAGAGUGGAAUUCCAUGUGUAGCGGUGAAAUGCGUAGAUAUAUGGAGGAACACCGGUGGCGAAAGCGGCUCUCUGGCUUGUAACUGACGCUGAGGCUCGAAAGCGUGGGGAGCAAACAGGAUUAGAUACCCUGGUAGUCCACGCCGUAAACGAUGAGUGCUAGGUGUUAGACCCUUUCCGGGGUUUAGUGCCGCAGCUAACGCAUUAAGCACUCCGCCUGGGGAGUACGACCGCAAGGUUGAAACUCAAAGGAAUUGACGGGGGCCCGCACAAG